UACGUAGGCAGCAAGCGUUGUUCGGAGUUACUGGGCGUAAAGGGUGCGUAGGCGGCUUUUUAAGUUUGGUGUGAAAUCUCCCGGCUCAACUGGGAGGGUGCGCCGAAUACUGAGAGGCUAGAGUGCGGGAGAGGAAAGUGGAAUUCCUGGUGUAGCGGUGAAAUGCGUAGAUAUCUGGAGGAACACCGGUGGCGAAGGCGGCAUCCUGGACCGGCAUUGACGCUGAGGCGCGAAAGCCAGGGGAGCAAACGGG
rnacentral:rRNA from 1 species